rnacentral:rRNA from 1 species
GAUGAACGCUAGCGGCAGGCCUAAUACAUGCAAGCUGAACGGCAAGAUUUGUAGCAAUACGAGUCCUAGAGUAGCGUAAGGGUGCGUAACACGUAUGCAAUCUACCCGCAACAGGAGGAUAGCUCUUCGAAAGAGGAAUUAAGACUCCAUAAUACCAUUUGAGGGCAUCUGAGGAUGGUUAAACUACAAGGGGUUGUGGAUGAGCAUGCGUCUGAUUAGUUAGUUGGCGGGGUAACGGCCCACCAAGACGAUGAUCAGUAGGGGAACUGAGAGGUUGGUCCCCCACACUGGCACUGAGAUACGGGCCAGACUCCUACGGGAGGCAGCAGUAGGGAAUAUUGGACAAUGGGUGAGAGCCUGAUCCAGCCAUGCCGCGUGAGUGAAGAAGGCC